GUAAAAUAUCUCUAUUAAUAUAUAUACUUUUUCUAAGGUAAAUAUUAUUAAAAAAUGGUUGUUUUAACAUGGUAUUAGAGCGUCAGGUUCCCAUCUUAACCUAUUUUUUUUCCUAACCUUCUUUAUCGCCGCCGUCGAUUAUUUCUAAAUGGCCAGCAGAAAUCUCUCGGGUCUCAUCCUCUCCGUCCAAUUUGCAAGCCCUCAACUCGUGGUCGAAGCUCGUCUGCAGUGAAUCAGCGAAUCAUCUUCUUCGUUGUCAUCAUCUGCCAGAUCUUCAGACACUUCCACAGUUGUCACACACAAACCCAGGUUCAUGAUCUGGGAACCCGUUAAGACCCCAAACAGACGCCAAUCCGAGUCCAUUGCUCUUGUUGUUGUCGCUGUCGAAGGAGGUUUUUUGGGAAGAGCAUCCCUCCAAUUCGUCGUCUCUCCGCUGAUUCGCUAUCAUACGCUGAUUCGUGCAAAACGUUAAUCGCCGAAAGCCCCUGCAACUCUCCCUUGAGGUUCUUCUUUGCUUGGUUCGUCUGAACUGAUCUAAUUUAUUUAGUGUUAAUCUGAUUACAUGACUUUUUCUUAAUCCUGCGAAGGAAAAAAAAAGAAACACCCCUCUACACGAAUGGGAGACCCAAAUACCCCUUCCAAAAUUGGUGAUGCCCCUUUUGACCCAAAUAAUAUUCUGUCUGACCUUUUUGCAACUAAGAUGGCCGAAGCCUUGACCAAGGCUCACACACCUACUAGUUUUUCAAAACUUGAUGCCGUCCCAAUUGGAAUUAAGUUGGAUGGUUUCAACUUUGCUUUCUGGUCCCAUGUUGUGGAGAUGUAUAUCUCCGGGAAGGACAAACUGGGCUACAUUAAUGGAGAAUUACCCCCUCCAUCUCCGACUAAUAUAUCUUACCGGAAGUAGCGAACGGACAAUGCAAUCAUUAAAGGCCAGUUGAUUAACUCCAUGGAUCUGACCCUAAUCGGCAAUUUCAUUCGAUUUUCUACUACUAAACAGGUAUGGUAUUAGGUUGCUACAACUUAUUUUGAUGGGGGAGAUACAUCGUAAGUAUAUGAGCUAAGGCAGCAUGUCUCUCGUCUCUGGCAAGGCGGUGGAUCCUUGGAAAAAUACUAUACUGACUUACAAGGAUUAUGGCAUGAAAUUGACUUCCACUGACCAAAUCUAAUGGAAUGCCCAACUGAUAUACAAAGGUACAAUAAUAUGCUUCAAGAGGACCGAGCGUAUGCUUUUUUUUAUGGCAUGGACGAUAAACUCAACAACAUCCGGAGUGAUGUACUGCAGCUACACCCGUUCCCUUUUAUGGACAGAGCCUAUGCCCAUGUUUGGCGAGAAGCUCUCCGCCAGGUGGUGGUGAAUACAGUGGAGAAGGAAGUCCCUGCUGGAGCCGUGCUCGCUUUUCGGAGCCUCAAGCUUGGUCAAGGACCUCCUACACAUGGCCAAAUGGGUAUCCUGAUUGGUGGCCCGAAUUUCAAGAAAAAAAUAAAAAGGAAGCAACACAGGUUAACAGUAGCAAAGGGAAAGUUGUUGUGGCUACAAUUGACUUGUGCCUCUCUCUCAUUCCAUCUAGUGACUUGACUCAUGUGACUGCCUCUCCUCCUAACUCAGGAUAUUCUCACCAAGGAGAUAAUUAGGCGUGGUACUAGGAAGGGGGGAUUAUUCUACAUGGAAGACUUCAGUCUGAGUCGUGCACAUCAGGUGUCCUCUCAAGAGUCCAAGAUUCAACAGAUAUAGUUGUGGCAUCGUCGUUUAGGUCAUCCCUUAUUUGGGUAUUUACAACAUUUAUUUCCUGAUUUAUUCUCGAAUAUGGAUCUGUCUAUGUUUCAUUGUGAUGCUUAUAUUUUGGCAAGAAGUCAUCGUGAAAAUUAUCCAUUGCACUUGAAUAAAAGUGAUACUCCAUUUACUUUAAUUCAAUCUGAU